AAGUAAAUAUAUAUCCUGUUAUCUUUUUAAAAUUAGCACAUCUACAUUUCUAAAACCUGUUGUUGUCUAAAUGGCUGAGACUCCCACAUGCUUUUGUCAUCAGCUACAAACCUGCGUAGCAACAGGGCACACCUCUCCUGGCACUAUGGAUUUGUGAGCCAAUCACGAUUGAGUUUCAGCGUGACGUCGUCUUGUUGACACUUCGAUUAGCUGGCCACCCGCGGAACGUCACUGCAGCAGCGCGCGCCCGUGACCCCUUGACGUCCAACCCGCGUUUUCUGCCUGGAAACAUCUCGAGCUAGUCGGAGCUGCGAAAAUGCAAGAUUCCGGGGGCUGGAGUCGGAGUGAGAAAUGGGGUCUGAUCAGAGUACCAGUUUGGCUGCUGACCAGCAGCCCAGGGAUCCUGGCAAUCUGCCAUUGCAAGGUGAAGUAUCUUCAUCCAGUGUCCAAAACAAUACCGGUCCUGAGCCUCGGGACAGUCUGGAUCCAGACACUGACUUGCCUCAGUGCCGAAUGGGCACCAGAAAGGUAGACGACAUGAGCUUUAUGAUAUCCUGCACUAACUGGUAUUAAAAGCCAAAGAAGACUGUGAAAGAACUGACUAGACUGGACGCUUCGUCCACAAAUGAGUGCCAAAUUCAGGACGGGACAAUGGAAGACACGGCGGUGCUGGAGUUGCAUUGCUGUUUAAAUGGGUUUGAUGUGAUUUAUGCCAUUAAUAAGUUGUUCAAUGUGUUUAAAGACAUAAGGAAUAAAGUUAGUGCACUAGCUGUACACUUAUGUACUGAUUGCAUGAUAUCAAAAGCUUGUAUUAUGUAGUUAAUAUCAACCUGCACUAAUUAAGUACAGUAUGUAUGUAUAAAUAUGUCAUAAUAUAAUGCAUCAUACGCUUGGCAUUUCUGUAGUUUUUAUUUUAUUGACAUUUCUUUGAACAUGGUGAUAUUAGAUACACAGUGUAAAACUGUAGACGGAAAACCGAAAUAAAAUUGACUCCUUGUUUAUAGAAUUAAAAACAGGAUUUAAGAAAUAAAACUUAAUAAGUAAAUCAAUCCUUUUAAGAUCACCCUCAUUUUUUAAUAAUCAACAUUAUGCAUGACAAUGUGAAAUCAUAGGCUACCGUUAGAGUGAAAGCAAAAUACAAAAGGUCUGAAAAGUUUAGGUAAAUCUUUGUAUUUACAUGACCAUUAAAACCUGACGAGGCUGAGCAGACAGCGACAUUUGACCUGUAAAUCAGAAAAUAUCAAAAUUCCAUUGACAGAAUCUGAAUUUAUUUAAAUCGCAGAGUGAGACGUUCACUCUUAAAUUCUUGUCAAAGGGAAAAAAGAACCAGUUAUAUACACAAACACAGUUGAAAUUCCCCCAUGGUCAGCCAAGAAAAAUAAUAAUAAUAAAAAACCAACCAAAAACCUUUAAAGCUAUCUCAGAUAAAAGCUCCAUUAAAGUUAACCCUCUGUAAUGAAAAAGCGUAAAUACAGUUGGUUCCUUGACUACCUCUGAUAUGUUUGUCCUAUUGUUAGUCUCAUAAAAGGACUAUAAAAAACAAAAGGCAACAGCAGCUCGGGUUAAAAGUGACUUGUCCAAAGCCACAUACCCAUUAAAAAGAGGCAAAUUACCAGAGAAUUCCUAUUUGCGUAUCUCCCUGUACAGUUCUGUAUUUUUGUUUUCUGUGCAACUAAUGUGGUUAUAGGCAUGGCUUCACCUUGAUUUCAAAUUAAACUGUGUAGAAUACCCUUAUGUCUCCAUUAAUGAGAAAUAAAUAGCUUUUCAUAUGAUAAGCCGCUAUCAUAACAAACCGUUCACUUCACCCUACGACAAACAUUUCUAAAGAUAUCCACCUUUGAUAAAUACAUUUUAGUGCUGUUAAACAUUUCACCUCAGACACUGCUGAAUGUUCAGUGUGUUAAUAUAUACACAUAAUUGCUUGUGCGGUGCUCUGUUAGCUUAGGAAUUCUUCAUGAAAUGGCAUGGUCUGGAAUUUAAAUGUCCUGUUUUUACAAAAGAAUCUUUAAGUGAUAAUAGUGCAGGUUUAAAGAAAUAAUAAUGGUCACAUCAUGCAUUUUUUAGUAAUGCAUGAAAAGUGUAAAUGCCCUCCAAGAGGCAUUUGAGACUAAUAUUCUGGAGAUAGUUUGAAUCACAAGCGUAAAUGUCUAUAAAUGUUGGUUGUCCCAAAUGGAAUUACACCAGCAUACAGAUGUUUGGGAUUGCAUAUGCAAUCCACAUAAUGUUCAUUUGCCAAACCUGGCAAAUAUAUUGGACAGAAACAUGGAAGUCAACAAUGUUAUGUUUGCAUAUAGUUUGGGAGUAGGUUUAUAGUUGGAUUUAUAUGCGUUCUGCAAAAACACCUUUAUGUGGAUUGCAAUAUGACUGAUCAUAAUGCAUGACGUGACCUUGAAGAUUUUACAUUAUUCUGUAAAUAAAUUUUAAUUUAACAUUUUGAUCCCAAUCUAGAGUACAUCUGCAGCAUGAGUUUUCUUCCAUCACAAGCCAUUCUCAUAUUGAUAAAGAAUAUACUUUAACACUGCUAUAUAAGAUGUCAGACAUACAUCUAAAACACAUAAAACCUCUUAAUAAGUACGGAACACACUAUUGUGCCACAUUGUCAAAUUCAAUCCAUGGCUUAUUAGAGCAAGUGUUUUGCCAUCUUUUGUACCAACAACAGCUCAUCGGACAGAUUUAAAGUUGAGGAAGACAAUUGGUGAUGCACAGUGUGUUCCAUUAAAAAUACUCCCACCCAGUACUUCCUGUACCCGAGACAUUAGAUCACUUCACAGUCACAUUGCUUGUUGUUGCAACAAGUUGUUGUUGUUGCUCUAGAUUCGGAGCUGACUAAUAAAAAUGCUUAUCUGAGAAACAAUAACAUCGAAUCUUUCCCAAGUGGGCACAAACAUGUAAAAUCUGCUCUAGUUUCAUGCCACUUUUCUACCCACGACCAAGCUGCUCGCAUAACAGAUCCAAAAAAUGAUACAUGAGAUGGAGGGGAAUAAAAAUGACUGGUAAUGCCUUGUUUUCAAUUAGUAAAGGCAUUGAAUAAUAUAUCAAGGCAUGUAUUCAUGAAUCCACUGUUCAAAUAACAAUGAGGUGGAAAUCAAUGUAAAUGAGCAGUGUUCAGUGUGCCAUAGCGGACUUGAAGACAAGGCACAAUGUCUUAAAGGGGUACAGUCCCCCAAUACUACUGCAUUGAGCUAAUCUGACCAAAACACUAUGCUAAUUAUACAUUUUUCCACCUUGUUAUAAAACAUUCUAUAGUCAAUCUCAAAAAUCAUCAUCACACCAAGUAUUCUUCCAACCAAUGGUAUGAAGUACUAUGCAAAUAUUGAUAAUCAUUCAGUUACAUGGCACAUAUCAAAGUACCGUGACAAACACUUUUGAUAUUAUCACUGUUUCGUGGAACCACAGUACUUUUUUUGUGAUGGAAUUAGUUGCCACUAGUCUAUGGAAGCCUGUUUUUGCCUUAAGAGUAGAAAAAAAAAAAAAAGUUAUUGUGAGAUUUAAUUCAGAAGUCACAUUUUGAGAGAAAGUCAGUGAAAUAUAAACAUGCAAUUGCAAAAUAAAAAUUUGCAACUGUGAGAUGUAAAGCCACUUUGUGAAUUAUGAAGCCAAAAAUGGGAUAUACAAAGUUGGAAAUAGGUGAAAUAAAGUAACAAAUGUGAGAUACAUGCCGCAAUUAUUAUUAUUUUUUUUUUACUCUGAGACAAAACCAGCCUUCCAUACAAGUCAUCGAGGGCAGGCAUAAAAGGUGUGGGUGACUUGUCCAGUCUUGCAUGUGGAAAAAUGAUUGAGAGUUUGUGCAACUGUCUAAAAUCGUUCCUUGUAUGCCUGUCUUAAAUCAUUAAGUUCUCAAAGUUGUUUUUGCUACGCACAUUAAAGUUCAUAGUUGCACUGCACUGAAAGUUUCCUCUAUUUUGUCUUGCGAAUCAGUGGUAACAUGAUGGAUCCCCUUUUAAGAAGGUCCAAAAGCUUUAAGACCACGCAAAGAGGGUGAAAAUCUUUGGAAGACAAGGGUUUAGAGAAAAAAUUUUCAUGCCCACAAAACCUUCAACAGACUAUUAAGAAAACAUUUAUGUUGAUUGAAAUGUAUUAACAAAAUUACGAUCUCCAAAUGGUCGAUCUUUUGGGCAGAUGUACAUAUGGCAACUACAGAAGUGAAGUAAUGUCACAAACACCAUGCCAGUGAAGCCAGCUCGGUGUAAAAAUAUGGUAAAGCUUGAAUAGAUGCUCAAACCAUUGGAGAAACAUUAGAAACCUAAAAGAAGAUGCCAGGUAGUUUGUGUUGCAGAUCCAUGCUCCACUGAACUGUGAAUACAAUAUUUACAUGAUUCUCUGCGGAAUAAAAAAAAUGGCUUUUUUGUAGCUAAAAAUGCUCUUUCCACAGAGGAAAAUAAAAUGGAUUUAAAACAUGCAACCUAAAUGUGUUAAGGCAAAAACAUCAGUGAAACCCCUAUAUCAAAUGAUAAACUGUGUGAUAAGUGAAGCCUUUUAGGGAGUCUCGCCAAAUGUACCAUCUUAAUAUUGUGAUUAAGAUGCUACAAACCUUUUCUUAUACGCCUGAAGCUUUGUCAGGUUAAUCCAAAAAAGUUCCAUUUGAAAUUCUGAAAAUAUCAAUUACAUCUCAGCUCCUUCCAAUGUGCAAUGUAUCAGAUCCAUUCCCACAGCAGAUGAGCACAAAGAGAUGUGUUAAUAUGGUACAGUCAGACACACUUCACCCAUUAAAUAGCACAGUCGAACCAAUAAAAGCACCCGACAGACAUUUAUGAGCUUUAGACGAUCCACACCGAACACAUGAAAAUAGGACGGAUGAACCGCUGAGAGAUCAUCUCCUGUAGGCAACGGUAACAAAGCUAUUUCAUAUUCAGAUGUGUUCAUUGUUCAUGUUCCUGCCUGGCACCAGUGUUUCAAAUAUUACACUUGGUGAAAAGGUAAGGUCGUAACAGGAAACUGUGCAAGAUGGUUGGAAAUAUCACUAAUAAAAGCAAAAUAUAAUAUAGAGAUUGCAAGAAAUCAGGCCUUAUUCCAAAGAACCAAAUUGUGCCUAUUAUGACACAAAAUUACUCUCCUAUAAAGACCUAAUGCCAUCUAAAAGAGAUCCUCUUUUGUUGCGGACUGAUAAAACAGCAAAUGAAGCGAGU